ACAAAAAGAACACCACCUACAAUACUCAGUCUAUAAAUGUGGUGACCCGACAGGGAAAGGGGGGAUGUAAAGAGCACAGAGAUGAUGCCAGGAAGAACAGUAAAUCAGGAAGGGGGGAUGAGUAGGGCCAGGGCUUCAGACAGAGUGGAGGUAAAGACCUGAGCAGAGAGGCAGUCAGGACCAGAGAUCUAACCAGGGCCUCUCUCAGGCUCAGAAGGUGAGUUCUACCACUGACCCACACUCCCAGCAUCCACUGGAACAUUGGAGACGAGGAAACAAGUUAUGUCGGGGAAGGAACCAUCAGCAGAACAGCCGACCUCAAAGUCCUCAGCCAAUAGCGUCUUCCCCUAAAGGAAAAGCAACGUUCACGUGGCCAACCUGGAGUUGGAGGGAAUGAAGUUAGGCCGAUGAGAAGGGAAGGUCCUAUGGGACCCCUCGGGCAGUAAGAUGACAGUGCCAGAGUCUAAGGUUGCUUCUGACAGACCCUAAUUUACAUUUUGACAGGAUUCCCCUCUUCCCUUCUUGUAUGUUUGCCACUUGCCCUGUUCUCCUCUCUCCAUCUCAAGCCCUCUGCUUACUCGUGAUUCCCUUGCAAACAUCAGCUGGCAUGUGGCUUUUGGUUUGGUGUUAUAGCAAGUGUUGACAUUUCGGCCCAUGCGCCUACUGUGAUCUAAUCGCUUAGCCAUCCAGUGUUCUAAUUCCAGAUUCCUGGGUGACAUAAUGUUAGCCUCACAUAUGAGUAGGCUGGGUAAUAUUAGUCCACUGCGGUAUCAUAAACUGAGGUCAGACUCAGAAGUAAGCUGAAACUGCAGCAUUUCCCAGAGUGAGCAUGGGCAGAUAAUGAGUAGCACGUCUGCUUCAGCAGACGCCUCGGCAUCUUUCUCCAUAAUACAGGAUAGUCAACAACUCCAGCAGAGACAGGUUACCUGUAGCCCUUCUGCACUGUCAUGCUCAAUAGACGCGCAUGUGUGAUACAGAGACACACAUCUAAACUCAGAGCUUUCUCAUUGGAAACUUGCAAGCUGGUAGAGUGAAUUGGUACUACAGGAAAGCAGAAUAAGCAGGCCAGGGGGGAACACAGUAAGUAGCACUCCUCUCCGGCCUCUACAUCAGUUCCUGCCUCCAAGUUCAGGCCUUGAGUUCCUGCCCUGACUUCCUUCAGUGAUGGACCGUGAUGUGAAAAUCUGGAAAAGAUUUACAACGUACACGUGCUCCGUCCGGGCCUCCCCUCACACUAUCGGCUAUCCCUAAAGAGGAUAUGCUGUUUAACCUACAGGAGGCUGAGGCAGGAGGAUUGCCGUGAGUCUGAGGCCAGGUUGGACUACAGUACAAGACCCUGUCUUGGUAAAUGAAUAAAUAAAAUUUUUGGAGUGUGCAAAA